CAAAAAAUGUCGACUUGGAGGUUGUUCCCUUGAGGAGUGGCUUCCGGAGCUAACGCGUUAAGUCGACCGCCUGGGGAGUACGGCCGCAAGGUUAAAACUCAAAUGAAUUGACGGGGGCCCGCACAAGCGGUGGAGCAUGUGGUUUAAUUCGAUGCAACGCGAAGAACCUUACCUGGUCUUGACAUCCACAGAAUUCUGCAGAGAUGCGGAAGUGCCUUCGGGAACUGUGAGACAGGUGCUGCAUGGCUGUCGUCAGCUCGUGUUGUGAAAUGUUGGGUUAAGUCCCGCAACGAGCGCAACCCUUAUCCUUUGUUGCCAGCGGUUAGGCCGGGAACUCAAAGGAGACUGCCAGUGAUAAACUGGAGGAAGGUGGGGAUGACGUCAAGUCAUCAUGGCCCUUACGACCAGGGCUACACACGUGCUACAAUGGCAUAUACAAAGAGAAGCGACCUCGCGAGAGCAAGCGGACCUCAUAAAGUAUGUCGUAGUCCGGAUCGGAGUCUGCAACUCGACUCCGUGAAGUCGGAAUCGCUAGUAAUCGUGGAUCAGAAUGCCACGGUGAAUACGUUCCCGGGCCUUGUACACACCGCCCGUCACACCAUGGGAGUGGGUUGCAAAAGAAGUAGGUAGCUUAACCUUCGGGAGGGCGCUUACCACUUUGUGAUUCAUGACUGGGGUGAAGUCGUACAAAGGGUAACCAAAGGGGGGGGCGCGCAGGGGGGUUAGAGGAAA
rnacentral:rRNA from 1 species